GUGCUCACUUCGGCAGCACAUAUACUAAAAUUUGAACGAUACAGAGAUUAGCAUGGCCCCUGCACAAGGAUGAUAUGCAAAUUCAGGAAGCGUUCCAUAUUUUU
rnacentral:snRNA from 1 species